GAUGAACGCUGGCGGCGUGCCUAAUACAUGCAAGUCGAGCGAACGGACGAGAAGCUUGCUUCUCUGAUGUUAGCGGCGGACGGGUGAGUAACACGUGGAUAACCUACCUAUAAGACUGGGAUAACUUCGGGAAACCGGAGCUAACACCGGAUAAUAUUUUGAACCGCAUGAUUCAAAAGUGAAAGACGGUCUUGCUGUCACUUAUAGAUGGAUCCGCGCUGCAUUAGCUAGUUGGUAAGGUAACGGCUUACCAAGGCAACGAUGCAUAGCCGACCUGAGAGGGUGAUCGGCCACACUGGAACUGAGACACGGUCCAGACUCCUACGGGAGGCAGCAGUAGGGAAUCUUCCGCAAUGGGCGAAAGCCUGACGGAGCAACGCCGCGUGAGUGAUGAAGGUCUUCGGAUCGUAAAACUCUGUUAUUAGGGAAGAACAUAUGUGUAAGUAACUGUGCACAUCUUGACGGUACCUAAUCAGAAAGCCACGGCUAACUACGUG
rnacentral:rRNA from 1 species